AGUGAACGCUGGCGGUAGGCCUAACACAUGCAAGUCGAACGGCAGCACAGUAAGAGCUUGCUCUUACGGGUGGCGAGUGGCGGACGGGUGAGGAAUAAAUCGGAAUCUACUUUUUCGUGGGGGGUAACGUAGGGAAACUUACGCUAAUACCGCAUACGACCUACGGGUGAAAGCAGGGGAUCUUCGGACCUUGCGCGAUUGAAUGAGCCGAUGUCGGAUUAGUUAGUUGGCGGGGUAAAGGCCCACCAAGGCGACGAUCCGUAGCUGGUCUGAGAGGAUGAUAAGCCACACUGGAACUGAGCCACGGUCCAGACUCCUACGGGAGGCAGCAGUGGGGAAUAUUGGACAAUGGGCGCAAGCCUGAUCCAGCCAUACCGCGUGGGUGAAGAAGGCCUUCGGGUUGUAAAGCCCUUUUGUUGGGAAAGAAAAGCAGCAGGUUAAUACCCCGCUGUUCUGACGGUACCCAAAGAAUAAGCACCGGCUAACUUCGUG
rnacentral:rRNA from 1 species